rnacentral:rRNA from 1 species
AGUGAACGCUGGCGGCAGGCCUAACACAUGCAAGUCGAACGGGAGCACAGGGAUAGCUUGCUCUUACGGGUGGCGAGGGGCGUACGGUGGAUGAAUAUAUCGGAGGUUGCGGUGUAGCAGGUGAUAACGUAGGGAAAUAUACGCUAAUAUCACAUACGACCGAAGGGGGGAAGCAGGGGAUCUGCCGCCCUCGCGUGAGUGAAUGAGGGAAGGUCUAAUUAGAUAGGUGGCGGGUUAAAGGCCCACCAAGGCGACGAUCCGUAGCUGGUCUGAGAGGAUGAUCAGACACACUGGAACUGAGACACGGUCCAGACUCCUACGGGAGGCAGCAGUGGGGAAUAUUGGACAAUGGGAGCAAGCCUGAUCCAGCCAUGCCGCGUGGGUGAAGAAGGUCUUCGGGUUGUAAAGCACUUUUGUUUGGAAAGAAAAGCAGCAGGUUAAUACCCAGCUGUUCUGACGGUACCCAAAGAAUAAGCACCGGCUAACUUCGUG